rnacentral:lncRNA from 1 species
CCAAUAUUUCCCAAACUUUGCAUCAUGCAUUUGCACCCAUAAGCAUCAUGCCAUUUAUGCACUUUGAGCAUUUUAAACCAAGGAUUCAAAAUUCAAAAUCUUUUUAUUAAGCUUUUGCCUUUUAACCUUCUUUGCUAACUUUUUGGAAUUUCUCAACCCAUGGGGUUUUUGUCAAUAGAAAGGGGUUUAAUGCAACAAGAUAAGCUAUCCCAUAAUUUUAGUAAUUUAUUUUGGAGUUGAAGAACUAUUUUAGUUCUAAGUAUUAUUGCACUAGAGGCAACUAUUUAAGCAAAAAUAUUUUUAAUAAUUUGCUUUUGGAAGGAAUCAAGUCCCAGAUGCUUUGGCAUUAAAGGAUAUGAUUUUACAAAUUUUCUGCAAUUUAUUUGAGGUCAUUUGGAGUUCAAAAUCAAAAGAUAAAGGGAAAAUAAGAAAAAGAAAAAGAGAAAAGAAAAAGAACAAAAAAAUAGGGAAACCAGACCGGCCAGGCCAACUUGGGCCGAACCGGCCCAGUCGCCCGCAUGCAUGCGCAGCUCCGCCCGCGAGCCGGCCCAUCAAGCCAGCCAGUCCCGCCAGCUGCCACCGCACACCCGCAGUCGCUGACAGGUGGGGCCCACCUGUCAGUCGUCUUCAACCUCGGCCGGGAAUCUAGCGAGUACCGUCUUAAUUUCUCGUCUUCAAUUCGCGAUUUAGAGCACGCCAUUAAGCACCACUCCUGCGUCACUAUAAAGGGCCC